CAGCAGCCGCGGGAAAACGAAGGGUGCAAGCGUUAAUCGGAAUUACUGGGCGUAAAGCGUGCGCAGGCGGUUUGUUAAGACAGAUGUGAAAUCCCCGGGCUCAACCUGGGAACUGCAUUUGUGACUGGCAAGCUAGAGUGUGGCAGAGGGGGGUGGAAUUCCGCGUGUAGCAGUGAAAUGUGUAGAUAUGCGGAGGAACACCGAUGGCGAAGGCAGCCCCCUGGGCCAACACUGACGCUCAUGCACGAAAGCGUGGGGAGCAAACAGGAUUAGAUACCCGAGUAGUCCCUGUCUCUUAUAC
rnacentral:rRNA from 1 species